rnacentral:misc_RNA from 1 species
GGAUGUAAAAGUCGUAACAAGGUUUCCGUAGGUGAACCUGCGGAAGGAUCAUUAUUGUAUAACCGAGGUGCGAGGGCUGUCGCUGACCCGAAAGGUCGUGCACGCCCGAGUGCCCUCACACACAUCCAUCUCACCCCUAUGUGCACCACCGCGUGGGUCCCCCUUUAGCUUGUUCGGAGGGGGGCUUACGUUUUCACACAAACUUUGUAUGCAGUGUAGAAUGCAUUUUUUGUUUUUGCGAUCACGCAAUCAAUACAACUUUCAACAACGGAUCUCUUGGCUCUC